UGAGGAAUAUUGGUCAAUGGACGAGAGUCUGAACCAGCCAAGUAGCGCGAAGGAUGACUGCCCUAUGGGUUGUAAACUUCUUUUAUAUGGGAAUAAAAUGUUUCACGUGUGGGAUUUUGUAUGUACCAUAUGAAUAAGGAUCGGCUAACUCCGUGCCAGCAGCCGCGGUAAUACGGAGGAUCCGAGCGUUAUCCGGAUUUAUUGGGUUUAAAGGGAGCGUAGGUGGAUUGUUAAGUCAGUUGUGAAAGUUUGCGGCUCAACCGUAAAAUUACAGUUGAAACUGGCAGUCUUGAGUACAGUAGAGGUGGGCGGAAUUCGUGGUGUAGCGGUGAAAUGCUUAGAUAUCACGAAGAGCUCCGAUUGCGAAGGCAGCUCACUGGACUGCAACUGACACUGAGGCUCGAAAGUGUGGGUAUCAAACAGG
rnacentral:rRNA from 1 species